GCGACGCCGCGUGAGGGAUGAAGGCCUUCGGGUUGUAAACCUCUUUCAGCAGGGAAGAAGCGCAAGUGACGGUACCUGCAGAAGAAGCGCCGGCUAACUACGUGCCAGCAGCCGCGGUAAUACGUAGGGCGCAAGCGUUGUCCGGAUUUAUUGGGCGUAAAGAGCUCGUAGGCGGUUUGUCGCGUCUGCUGUGAAAACCUGGGGCUUAACUCCGGGCCUGCAGUGGGUACGGGCAGACUAGAGUGCGGUAGGGGAGACUGGAAUUCCUGGUGUAGCGGUGAAAUGCGCAGAUAUCAGGAGGAACACCGGUGGCGAAGGCGGGUCUCUGGGCCGUAACUGACGCUGAGGAGCGAAAGGGUGGGGAGCAAACAGGCUUAGAUACCCUGGUAGUCCACCCCGUAAACGUUGGGAACUAGUUGUGGGGUCCAUUCCACGGAUUCCGUGACGCAGCUAACGCAUUAAGUUCCCCGCCUGGGGAGUACGGCCGCAAGGCUAAAACUCAAAGGAAUUGACGG
rnacentral:rRNA from 1 species